rnacentral:rRNA from 1 species
AGAGUUUGAUCAUGGCUCAGAUUGAACGCUGGCGGCAGGCCUAACACAUGCAAGUCGAACGGUAACAGGAAGCAGCUUUGCUGCUUUGCUGACGAGUGGCGGACGGGUGGAGUAAUGUCUGGGAAACUGCCUGAUGGAGGGGGAUAACUACUGGAAACGGUGGCUAAUACCGCAUAACGUCGCAAGACCAAAGAGGGGGACCUUCGGGCCUCUUGCCAUCAGAUGUGCCCAGAUGGGAUUAGCUUGUUGGUGAGGUAACGGCUCACCAAGGCGACGAUCCCUAGCUGGUCUGAGAGGAUGACCAGCCACACUGGAACUGAGACACGGUCCAGACUCCUACGGGAGGCAGCAGUGGGGAAUAUUGCACAAUGGGCGCAAGCCUGAUGCAGCCAUGCCGCGUGUAUGAAGAAGGCCUUCGGGUUGUAAAGUACUUUCAGCGGGGAGGAAGGUGUUGGCGGUUAAUAACCGCAGCAAUUGACGUUACCGCAGAAGAAGCACCGGCUAACUCCGUGCCAGCAGCCGCGGUAAUACGGAGGGUGCAAGCGUUAAUCGGAAUUACUGGGCGUAAAGCGCACGCAGGCGGUCUGUCAAGUCGGAUGUGAAAUCCCCGGGCUCAACCUGGGAACUGCAUUCGAAACUGGCAGGCUUGAGUCUUGUAGAGGGGGGUAGAAUUCCAGGUGUAGCGGUGAAAUGCGUAGAGAUCUGGAGGAAUACCGGUGGCGAAGGCGGCCCCCCUGGACAAAGACUGACGCUCAGGUGCGAAAGCGUGGGGAGCAAACAGGAUUAGAUACCCUGGUAGUGCCACGCGUAAACGAUGUCUACUUGGAGGUUGUGCCCUUGAGGCGUGGCUUCCGGAGCUAACGCGUUAAGUAGACCGCCUGGGGAGUACGGCCGCAAGGUUAAAACUCAAAUGAAUUGACGGGGGCCCGCACAAGCGGUGGAGCAUGUGGUUUAAUUCGAUGCAACGCGAAGAACCUUACCUGGUCUUGACAUCCACAGAAGAAUCCAGAGAUGGAUUUGUGCCUUCGGGAACUGUGAGACAGGUGCUGCAUGGCUGUCGUCAGCUCGUGUUGUGAAAUGUUGGGUUAAGUCCCGCAACGAGCGCAACCCUUAUCCUUUGUUGCCAGCGAUUAGGUCGGGAACUCAAAGGAGACUGCCAGUGAUAAACUGGAGGAAGGUGGGGAUGACGUCAAGUCAUCAUGGCCCUUUACGACCAGGGCUACACACGUGCUACAAUGGCGCAUACAAAGAGAAGCGACCUCGCGAGAGCAAGCGGACCUCAUAAAGUGCGUCGUAGUCCGGAUUGGAGUCUGCAACUCGACUCCAUGAAGUCGGAAUCGCUAGUAAUCGUGGAUCAGAAUGCCACGGUGAAUACGUUCCCGGGCCUUGUACACACCGCCCGUCACACCAUGGGAGUGGGUUGCAAAAGAAGUAGGUAGCUUAACCUUCGGGAGGGCGCUUACCACUUUGUGAUUCAUGACUGGGGUGAAGUCGUAACAAGGUAACCGUAGGGGAACCUGCGGUUGGAUCACCU